rnacentral:rRNA from 1 species
UAAAGAGUUCUAUAACUCCCAAACCCAUGUGAACAUACCUAACGUUGCCUCGGCAGGUCGCACCUACCUUGUAGCACCCUACCCUGUAGGGCCUACCCGGGAGGUGCGGGUAAGCCUGCCGGCGGCCCACCAAACUCUGUUUGAUAUUGAAUUCUGAACCUAUAACUAAAUAAGUUAAAACUUUCAACAACGGAUCUCUUGGUUCUGGCAUCGAUGAAGAACGCAGCGAAAUGCGAUAAGUAAUGUGAAUUGCAGAAUUCAGUGAAUCAUCGAAUCUUUGAACGCAUAUUGCGCCCAUUAGUAUUCUAGUGGGCAGGACCGUUCGAGCGUCAUUUCAACCCUUAAGCCUUCGUUGCUUAGUGUUGGGAGCCUACGGCAACGUAUCUCCUCAAAGUUAGUGGCGGAGUUGGUUCACACUCUAGACGUAGUAAUUUUUUAUCUCGCCUAUUAGUUGGACUAAUCCCCUGCCGUAAAACCCCCAAUUUAUCAAGGUUGACCUCGAAUCGGUUCAGACAAACUCGCUAAAUUGAAGCAUCUUAGUCAGCGAAGGAAAAGAAACCAACAGGGAUUGCCCUAGUAACGGCGAGUGAAGCGGCAACAGCUCAAAUUUGAAAUCUGGCCCUCGGGUCCGAGUUGUAAUUUGUAGAGGAUGCUUUUGGCG